CCGUCGAUAGCUCAGUUGGUAGAGCGGUGGACUGUAGAGGUUUCCAAUGCGGGCAUCCAUAGGUCGCUGGUUCAAAUCCGGCUCGACGGA
rfam:Ixodes scapularis strain Wikel colony gcontig_1108379671322, whole genome shotgun sequence.